rnacentral:rRNA from 1 species
AACUAGCUCUUCAAGUGGUCGGGAUGAUUAUUGGGCUUAAAGUGUCCGUAGCCGGUUUAGUAAGUUCCUGGUAAAAUCAGGUAGCUUAACUAUCUGUAUGCUAGGAAUACUACUAUACUAGAGGGCGGGAGAGGUCUGAGGUACUACAGGGGUAGGGGUGAAAUCUUAUAAUCCUUGUAGGACCACCAGUGGCGAAGGCGUCAGACUGGAACGUGCCUGACGGUGAGGGACGAAAGCCAGGGGAGCGAACCGGAUUAGAUACCCGGGUAGUCCUGGCCGUAAACGAUGCAUACUAGGUGAUGGCCCGGCCAUGAGCCGUGUCGGUGCCGUAGGGAAACCGUUAAGUGUGCCGCCUGGGAAGUACGGUCGCAAGGCUAAAACUUAAGGAAUUGGCGGGGGAGCACCACAAGGGGUGAAGCCUGCGGUUC